rnacentral:rRNA from 1 species
GACGAACGCUGGCGGCGUGCUUAACACAUGCAAGUCGAACGGAAAGGCCCUGCUUUUGUGGGGUGCUCGAGUGGCGAACGGGUGAGUAACACGUGAGUAACCUGCCCUUGACCUUGGGAUAACUUCAGGAAACUGGGGCUAAUACCGGAUAGGAGCUCCUGCUGCAUGGUGGGGGUUGGAAAGUUUUGGCGGUUGGGGAUGGACUCGCGGCUUAUCAGCUUGUUGGUGGGGUAGUGGCUUACCAAGGCUUUGACGGGUAGCCGGCCUGAGAGGGUGACCGGCCACAUUGGGACUGAGAUACGGCCCAGACUCCUACGGGAGGCAGCAGUGGGGAAUAUUGCACAAUGGGCGGAAGCCUGAUGCAGCAACGCCGCGUGCGGGAUGACGGCCUUCGGGUUGUAAACCGCCUUCGCCUGUGACGAAGCGUGAGUGACGGUAAUGGGUAAAGAAGCACCGGCUAACUACGUG